CCUACGUGAGGCAGCAGUGGGGAAUAUUGCACAAUGGGGGAAACCCUGAUGCAGCGACGCCGCGUGAGUGAAGAAGUAUCUCGGUAUUUAAAGCUCUAUCAGCAGGGAAGAAAAUGACAGUACCUGACCAAGAAGCCACGGCUAACGACGUUCCAGCAGCCGCGGUAAUACGUAGGGGGCAAGCGUUAUCCGGAUUUACUGGGUGUAAAGGGAGCGUAGACGGUUAUGUAAGUCUGGAGUGAAAGCCAGGGGCUCAACCCCGGGACUGCUUUGGAAACUGUUUAACUGGAGUAAAGGAGGGGCAGGCGGAAUUCGUGGUGUAGCGGUGAAAUGCGUAGAUAUCAGGAGGAACACCGGGGGCGAAGGCGGCUUACUGAACUGAAACUGACGUUGAGGCUCGAAAGCGUGGGGAGCAAACAGGAUUAGAUACCCCAGUAGUC
rnacentral:rRNA from 1 species